GACGAACGCUGGCGGCGUGCCUAAUACAUGCAAGUAGAACGCUGAAGAGAGGAGCUUGCUCUUCUUGGAUGAGUUGCGAACGGGUGAGUAACGCGUAGGUAACCUGCCUUGUAGCGGGGGAUAACUAUUGGAAACGAUAGCUAAUACCGCAUAACAAUGGAUGACCCAUGUCAUUUAUUUGAAAGGGGCAAAUGCUCCACUACAAGAUGGACCUGCGUUGUAUUAGCUAGUAGGUGAGGUAACGGCUCACCUAGGCGACGAUACAUAGCCGACCUGAGAGGGUGAUCGGCCACACUGGGACUGAGACACGGCCCAGACUCCUACGGGAGGCAGCAGUAGGGAAUCUUCGGCAAUGGGGGCAACCCUGACCGAGCAACGCCGCGUGAGUGAAGAAGGUUUUCGGAUCGUAAAGCUCUGUUGUAAGUCAAGAACGAGUGUGAGAGUGGAAAGUUCACACUGUGACG
rnacentral:rRNA from 1 species